ACUCCUACGGGAGGCAGCAGUGGGGAAUCUUAGACAAUGGGCGCAAGCCUGAUCUAGCCAUGCCGCGUGAGUGAUGAAGGCCUUAGGGUCGUAAAGCUCUUUCGCCAGAGAUGAUAAUGACAGUAUCUGGUAAAGAAACCCGGCUAACUCCGUGCCAGCAGCCGCGGUAAUACGGAGGGGGUUAGCGUUGUUCGGAAUUACUGGGCGUAAAGCGCGCGUAGGCGGAUCAGAAAGUUGGGGGUGAAAUCCCGGGGCUCAACCUCGGAACUGCCUUCAAAACUCCUAGUCUAGAGUUCGAGAGAGGUGAGUGGAACUCCGGAGUGUAGAGGUGAAAUUCGUAGAUAUUCGGAAGAACACCAGUGGCGAAGGCGGCUCACUGGCUCGAUACUGACGCUGAGGUGCGAAAGUGUGGGGAGCAAACGAGGAUUAGAUACCCUGGUAGCGACUGA
rnacentral:rRNA from 1 species